CCCGCCCCCCUUCAAAAACUCCCCCGCCCCCCGGAGGCUCCUUCGCUACAGGGGGAGGGGGUGGAUACAGCUCCGGCAUCACUGACUGUUGGUUUUGGCUGGAUUUCAAGUCUGACCCCACCCUGUACAUAUUUACUUUCAUGAGGUCCACAGCUUUCCAAAGAUCCAUGUGCAAGACCUGGAUUUCUGCAAGCUGAUGAGAUGAAGCUGGAACAGGAGGGAUGAAAACUGAUGAAAACUCCCAGCAGUUCAGUGGUCUUAUUAGGUACAUAUUUAACAGGAAUAAAUUCCUGUGCUGAGCCAAACCACAGCAUUAGAGGUGAAUUUAGCAUCCCUGUGAACCCCAGUGUCCUCUGAGGCUGCUUUAAUCUCUUUGAUAUUUGCAUUCAUUUGUUCAUUAAAGGUUUGUUGUUUACCCAGGACAAUGUACCAUUCCCCCCCGUGGAGCUCAAAUGUUAGCCAGGUGCAAGUCAUGGCACUGCUUUUCCAAGUGAUCUGUUGCACUGGCCUGGAUGACACGAGGAAAACUGCACUUCCCAAUGGAAGAAAAGAAGCCCUGGUGCUGGCAUUGACCAGUACAGCCAUGGUACCAGCACGAUGAAGGGAUAAGGCUGGGAUGCUGAUGUCUGACCCAGCCUGCUGGGGGACCUUCCCAUCAUCUAAUGCCCUAGAGAUGGGGGGCAUCAGCCAAAAUACCACUUACUCCUUAUAAAUGCUCUCAAGGGGUGCUCUGCACAGGGGGUAUUAUGUGUGUCCUGCAUCCUCUAGCAUAUUCCUCCAGGUUUGCACAGUCAAGCAGAUGACUGGAUGUGUUUCUUCAUGAGCAGGAAAUGAAGCCUCAUUUCCUGCAAAUUUGUGUCCUGUAAUUCCUGCAAAAAUCCUGGCCGGCUUCCCACAUCUCCCGUCACACCCACACCAUGCAGAGAGUCUGUGCUGUGAUGAUCCCUGCACUAAUUAGCAGCCUAAGAUGCACGUGCAGCCUGGCAGGGCAGCUGCCACCAAGCAGGAUGGCAGAUGGCCGAGCCCACAGCCUCCUACCCCCAGCUCCAGUGUUUGGAGGUCAGCUGGGGGAAGGGUUUUCCUGGAGACACAUGGAAACUUCUCUUUGGUUCUUCUACGUGACUUUCAAGUGUGCUGGGAUUCAGCAACACAGCUCAAGGAGGCACUGCCAGAUUGUGCAGCACAGCAUUCCCAUAGGAAAGCAGGAUAACGGGGCUAGGUUGAGGUGAGGUAGAGACUGUCUCACAGGAUUCCCCAAAAUCUCUUCUUCUCCAUCUCCUAAACAU